rnacentral:tRNA from 2 species
GAUCUGUUAGCUCAGUUGGUAGAGCAUUUGACUUUUAAUCAAAGGGUCAUGAGUUCGAAUCUCAUACAGGUCACCA